rnacentral:rRNA from 1 species
AACGAACGCUGGCGGCGUGCUUAACACAUGCAAGUCGAACGGAAAGGCCCUGCUUUUGUGGGGUGCUCGAGUGGCGAACGGGUGAGUUACACGUAGGUAACCUGCCCUUGACUGUGGGAUAACUUCAUGAAACUGGGGCUAAUACCGGAUAGGAGCUCCUGCUGCAUGGUGGGGGUUGGAUAGUUUCGGCGGUUGGGGAUGGACUCGCGGCUUAUCAGCUUGUUGGUUGGGUAGUGGAUUACCAAGGCUUUGACGGGUAGCCGGCCUGAGAGGGUGACCGGCCACAUUGGGACUGGGAUGCGGCCCAGACUCCUACGGGAGGCAGGAGUGGAGAAUAUUGCACAAUGGGCGGAAGCCUGAUGCAGCCACGCCGCGUGCGGGAUGACGGCCUUCGGGUUGUAAACCGCUUUCGCCUGUGACGAAGCGUGAGUGACGGUAAUGGGUAAAGAAGCACCGGCUAACUACGUG